GAUGAACGCUAGCGGCAGGCUUAAUACAUGCAAGUCGAGGGGCAGCAUGACUGUAGCAAUACAGUUGAUGGCGACCGGCAAACGGGUGCGGAACACGUACAGAACCUUCCUUCGAGCGGGGAAUAGCCCAGAGAAAUUUGGAUUAAUACCCCAUAGUACAACGGAGUGGCAUCACUUUGUUGUUAAAGAUUUAUCACUUGAAGAUGGCUGUGCGGCUGAUUAGGUAGUUGGCGGGGUAACGGCCCACCAAGCCUGCGAUCAGUAACUGGUGUGAGAGCACAACCGGCGACAGGGGCGCUGGAAGGCGGUACCGACUCCUACGGGAGGCAGCGGUAGGGUAUAUUGGUCAAUAGACGAAAGUCUGAACCAGCCAUGCCGCGUGGAGGAUGAAGGUCCUCUGGAUUGUAAACUUCUUUUAUAUGGGACGAAAAAAGGUCUUUCUAGAUCGUCUGACGGUACCUUAUGAAUAAGCACCGGCUAACUCCGUGCCAGCAGCCGCCGUAACAC
rnacentral:rRNA from 1 species